GGAGCCAGAAACCUUCCCCAAAGUUUCUCCCUCCAGGUACCUCAUUGAAUCAUCCCUGGAUGACAAAUCAGCCAAGGCCAAGAUUUCCAGACACAGGGGUGAUUUCCUCGUCCUCGAGGUGACUUGUCAGCUCCAACUCUAUUUUUUUAUGCCUGCUGUGUUUAACAGUGGAGUCAGAGAGAUUGGCACAUAACUGAGGGGAAGUGAACAGUAACUUAAUGGGAUCCAGCCAUGCAACAUGAUUGAGCCGGGGAUGAGGAUGAUCUGGCCCCAGAGAAGUUGUAUCUGCCACCAGAGAUAACAAUUUUCACAUGGAGAGUGGAGAAAAUGUUUCCUGGACGAUGGGAAUGACUGACAGAUAUUAGAUGGGAGGAAAUUGAAGGCUCUGCCAAGUUUCAUGAUAAAAUGCGAUUUCUCACGGUAAGGUCAAGCUGUCUCUAGCAUGGUUACUGCUUUUAAAGUACAAAGGGAACACAGCAGAUUCAACACAGUGCAGCAGACUUUGCAGAGUAUAUGAUCAAAGGCCUGUUUCAUUUAUAAAUAAAAUUGGAUGAAUAGUACAGCAGUAGCAAUCAUCAAGAUGAAUUUGGAAUUUGCUGAUGAGCCAGAAGCUGAGAAUGACCAGUAAUAAACUCUCUAAAGGUUUGAUCCCAAAGCCCUCUGAAUGCAAAAUGCCCACUGUUGUUUGUGAGAUUAUACAUGUAAAAGGCAGGUUAAAUCAGAAUUUCAAAGGAGAGCCCUAUGCCAGGAGCUGGGAUUGGCAACACUGUAAUAUAUUAAUGAGUAUUUCAAAGAGUGGAAUUUAUUCACCAGCACUAAAUCUUAGUUUCCAAAGACUAAGAAACUAAAAGUGAAACCUAGUAUGUACAUAUCACUGAGUAUUAGAGACUUCACUCAUGCAAACAGUACAGAAAUAAAAGCCACACUUUAGUCCCAAGUUACAUUUUUAAAAAAAUGAGUAGAAUUUGUUCUAACUUAAAAUCUUUGGGAAUAACUCUAUGUCUUGGUUACUUUCUCGAGUUGCUGAGACAAAACACCUGACACCCCAAAUGAAGCAAGGAAAGGUUUAUUUAGCUCACUGUGGAGGUUUCAGUCCAUAAUCAGCUGACUCCAAGGCAGGGUGGCACUGCACUAGGACAAUACUUUGAGGCAGCAGCCAGAGCAAAAAAGUGGGGGAGAGCAAGCCUUUUCUCCUUUAUAUUGUACACAGGCCACCCCUUCUCCAAGGUGGGUGUAGUAUUAGCAAAAUCUCUGUGCCCUUUGCUUGCACAGGAUGAGGAUAUUUACAAAGUAAGGAUCCUGGCUCCCUGCUGAGUGUCUUUAGUUAAACUUCUAAACUUCUCAAGUUGACACAAAGUAUCAACCAUAGCACUUUGGGAUGGUUCAUUUUGUGUCAACUUCACUGGGGCACAAGGCCCUGUGCUGCUCGUUUAUCAGGAGGAACCAUAUCCACUGAGUCUCUGUUAGUGAUGCCUCUGAAGCAUGAUAGAGAUGUUCAUUGUCAAAUUACUUGAAAGGGUAAAUGACUCAGAAGAAUGCAAAUUUCUACCUAUGAAAGAUGAUUAAUAAGUUAUGUUACUUUAAUAUGACAGGGUGCUAUGGAUAUUAUGCCUUUGUCUUUAAAAAAAUGGGGCAGAUAUCUAUUAUCUGAUAAGAUGCUAAAACUGAGAAAAAGACAAAGAAUAUGUUUUCCCAUUUGUAAGUAUACGUGUAAGUGUUUUUAAAUUUUUGAAAAGCACAUAAACUAUAAUAUCAGUUACUACUGGGAAGUAAAAUUGAUAGAACAACACAGAUUCUGGCUUGCAGUUGAAUACUCUUUUUAAUGUUUAACUUUUUCCCUAUGGCCAAGUAUUUCUGUAAUUUACAAAAUUAGAUUAAUGUAAAGUUCAUUCAUUCAUUCCAUAAUAAAGUAUCAUGUACCAAGCAAA